AGCCUGACGCAGGGCCUGAACUCAAGAAACCGCGAGAUCACGACCUGAGCCGAAACCAAGAGCCAGACGCUGAACCGACUGGACCGCCCAGGUGCCCCUCGUGGAUACUUAUUUUAUACUUUGGAUUAUAAUGCAACACCACUUUAUUAUUCAGAUUGGCUCAGCUUUGGUCAUUGGGAGCUUUGUAAAUGGCCCCUGUGUCCCUUGUCCCUCUGAUAUAACCUCAUCAUUGAGUUUUAUUUUUUGUUUUGAGUACUUUUUUAGUGUCUGGGACUAUAGGAUGCAUUAGAUUCACCCUUAUAUUUUCUACUCCACUCUUAGGAUCAUUUCUGCAAAGAGCCCUGGUUCCUUUUAUGGGAAAAUGGUGUUAGAAUCCACGAUCUGGGUGCCAGGUGUAGUAGCUUUUUGCAAACCAAAUACUUGGUGGAAAAGAAAGUUUUUGCCCAUUGUUUCAGGUAGUGAUGAAUUGGGUUAUUGAAAUAAUUUUUAUGUUAAUACUGCUGGAUCGAAAUUUUACCUGAGUGAGUUGAGUAGAAUCAUCACAAGAAUUUCUAAGUAAAAUUCUAAGAAGUAAUUAUUUUAUUACUCUUUUCUGUUACUUUAAAGAAAGCCGCCUGCCCAUGAUGGCACUUUAUCCUUGACCAGAACCUGAGGCAGAACUUCAAAACAUGCAUCUGCGUACCAUUUCAAUAAGAGAGCGGAAUUGUUACCGCCCAUCAAGCAACCAGGUCAGAAGAAUCACAAGAUCUGAUAGGCGAAUGCGUGAAAUGUGUGUUGAUUGUAAAAACAAAACAAAACAAAACUCAGUUUCUAAGAAUUAACCAUCUGUUUUUUUCCCAGGGCCUCCUUGUCCUCACCUAUUGUAUUUUAAUUUUCUUGCAGCUUAACUGUAAAGAAUAGUCUUCUAAAUCAGUGUAAAUAGAAAAACUUCGAUUUAAAUGGAUUGCAUGCAAUUGCAAUUAGUAAGCAGCAGAAGCACUAACGAGGAAGAGAGCCAGGCAGGUGAAAAACCCGAAGCCAAGGUAAAUGAAGCAGUCUCUGAUGAAUAAGCAAACGUUAACUCAGGGCACCGGAAAACAGAGUGAGUUGGAGAUGCCCAGGGAGCCCUCAAAUGAAAAUAGCUGGAAAGCCUCCAGAGGGACGGAGCUGAGUAUAGAGAUGGGCAGAUCAUAAGAGCGAGGUUCUGGGGAAGGGUUGCUCUUGCGUCUGAAGCCUGGCACAGAUUGCCAGGGAGCACGUGAGACGCCCAGUGUCUUCUUCAGAGUUCAGCGGAAGCCAUCAAGCCCAUGCUGGAAGAGCCUGGAAACACUAAUCUAGGACACAAUGGAGGGAAACUUGAGUGUAUGAAGGGUGUACCAUGUGCUGGGUGAACUAUGUCAUUUAAUUUUUAUACCCGCCCUUUCCCGUCUCACGGCAUUUAAUUCUUACACCAACCCUUUGAAGGAGAGUAUUACUACAGUGUUACAGGUGGAGGAAAUGGGGCACAGAGCGGCUUGAGAAUAGCUUGCAAAUCACACAGCCACUAAUCGGAGGUAAACUCAGACCAGGGUUUAAAAAGUGGAAGUUUUCAUUUCAAGCAGUUUGGGGGAAUCAAGAUAGACUGAAACCAAUUCGGUGUUGCGUAGGUGCAGGCUCUUAGCCCCUGGGGCGAUUAACGAUACUUUUUUGUGGGGGGGUCUGGGUUGCACUGGUUAAGAGAAAGGCGUUUAAAUUGGUGGCUGUGACGUUCAGAUGGUUUAGAACUGCUGAAAAAUGAGGGUUCUGGUAGGCUGCUCUAUCUGGAGAGCCUUCGAAUGGGCUGAAAACUCCUGGACAUAGCUGGUUAAGCAAGUGGGCUUGGGGAUUGGCUGAAGGGUGGGUUCUUUUAAUUAUCAUUUCACAUUCCCUUUGACCUUCUCAGGAUUCCUGUAGACGGGAGAGAGUGCUUUUUGGCUCUUCCGGGGAGAAUAAAUUUUAGUGGGGGCUAUUCUUCGAUUCUGGCCAACUGGUCGCUCCGAUGUACGUUAGGCCAUUUGUGAAUGAGAGAGGAGAAUCGCGAAAACCGCUGUGAACUGCGAGGAUGUAAUAUGUUAAACAUGGUGUGUUUAUGUUUACAAAAUAAAUCUCAAGAGCAAAUUAAUUGUAUGUCUGUAGUUCUUGAAGUGAAGUAGGCUAAGUGGGGGAAAAGCAUGAUUUAAUCUUGCUUUAUUGCUGGCCAAAUCUCUAGGCUGGCCUUUUUUUUCCUUUUAAUAAAAAUGCUUGUGGUUCCUUGUCUUCCCAUUAGCUCAUAGUUGAGAGCUCUGUUAAGUUGUCUGUGAGACGGCGUGUAUUAGGCUUGCCUGAUUAAAAUUGUUCAUGAGAGAUCAAGCAGACAAGGGACUUUUAGCAUAAUUAAAAAAGCACUGCUCGCCUUUAAAGAUGAGAUUUCAGAGAUUUUCAAAUUUAUAUCCACCUGUAGGGAAGUGUGUUUAUGUAAUUAGAUUCCGGUUCUCUCAUGAACCCUUCUUAACUCAAUUCACACAUGGUGUCCUUUCCUUUUAUAGACUGUCAUCUCAUGCAGGAGACGAGAGAUGUUGAGAGGAGACAGAAUUUGAAUGAACUGAAACGUUUCCCUUGAAAGAUCACAAUGUGAUAAGUUACACAAUCAGUUACCUCCUUAUGUUAACCUGUUUAUUUGUGAAAGGAAAUGCAGGAGCAAAGUUGAAGAUCGUCAAGGGAAAAAUCCAAACAAAUGGCCUAUCCUGUGUUCUCAGGCUAAUCCGAGAAAAAUUACAGCAGCUUUUGGAAUAUAUCUCCUUGUGUUCAAUGGACAUCUUCGUCCAAGGUUGUUUUUUCAAAAUUUUGUCUUUUCAUAUUGCAGUCCCAAACUUUCCAUUGCUGCGCUCUGAAAUCAUUCAGUUCUUAUUCUCAUUUUACUGUCAUGUUUCAGAGGGAAAAAAAGAGAUGAUUACACUUAAUGUGGUUUAAAAUGGCUUCUUUUGUCCUUUUAAAGCAAAGUCCACUGCUAUGGACUUGUUUAGUACUUUAUAGAGCACACUUCAGGUUUGUUUUUUUUUUUAAGUGUGUUUCUAAAAUACAUUUUAGUUCUUUGGAAAGAAACCCUUUCUAGCGUAAAUCAAAAUGUUAUUGCUGUAAUGAGGCAGCAUUUUAGAAGAAAAUUACCAAGGUGUGAACCUGGUUUUUUUUUUUUUUUUACCUACAUGUAUAAGGCAUUAAUUUCAUAGACGAAGCGCUUCCGAACAUGGGAACAUUUUCUUCAGGGAAAGCAUUUUCCUCAACGAAUAAGUAAUGCUUUGUUUUCACCCAGAAGAUUGCUUUAGAACAUUUCUCAUGUAAUUAAAAUAAUUUUUCCAUUAGCUGAGAGUAGUUCUCAAAGCUUCUUGACUUUUUUUUUUCACUUCUGUCUUAUUCUGCAUUUUUAAAAAAGAAUUCGUUCCAGCCUGAUUUUAACAUUAAACAGCAGUGUGCAGAAGGUACCCAAAUUAUGUUUAUGUGAGCUCUGGGCAAGAGAAAAAGAUGAUAAAAGAACCUCCCCAAACCAGAAGGUACCAUAAAUUAUCCCAGUUAUAUAUUGAGACUAAAUUUUAGGAACCUAAUGAAACAUAUAUUGGCCAGGCAUAAAAAUACUUCAAAACCAUAAACAAUCGAGAAAGAAAGGAGCCUGAAAUUUUAAAUGGUGGGAUUUUUUUUUUUUAAUGUCUCAUGUUAUCUGCAGGAGGAGAGCACUAAACAAGGUUACAUCUUGAAAUGGUAAAAUCUGUGAAUAGUUUUGUUUGUGGGAGGAGGGUCACAAAGAGGUUAUUCCUCUGGCUUUCUUCUCCUUGACAAGUAAUCAGAGUAGUUCACAGAUUUCCUGGUUUCCAACCAUUUUAUAGUCUGGAGAAUUAAUGCUUGCAUCAAAUUAUACAGUACCUUACUUUUGAUUAAAUAAAGUGUUUUAACAGGACCCUACAAUCAAGUAAGCUAGAUAAUAGUUGCUUUAAUUAAGACCUAAUUUAGGUUGAAAACAUAUAGAAUUAACAAGGUGUACUAUAUGUUAUAAUUAUAGCAACCGGUAUAUUUUUGCCAUAGGCAUUAUGAUUUCCUUUAUAUUCCACAGAAAGGAAAACCCUUAUGUUCUCUUUAUUCUUGUUCAAUUUCACACACUGGUUUUCAUAUCCAUUUAAUUGCUUAUUCAUCCACCUGUCUGUCGUUCAUCCAUUUAUUCAGUAAGCACUUACGGAACCUUUCCCGUUGGGCUUGGGUACCUGUGAUACAGAGAGGAGUCAACUCUUUGAGGAUAUCUUUGUGUGUGUGUGUGUGUGUAUGUAUAUAUAUUGCAUGCCACAAAUUCACAAAGAAUUACCAGUACGAAUAGAGUGAUGUGCAUGUAAAAGAAGGUGCAUCUAGUUGUUUCUGGAAUGUCAGAGAAAACUUCAGCAGAGGAGACCGUGUUUAAACUGAGUCGGGAAGGUCCUUCACUGGGCUGAAAAUCAGAGGAAGGGCACACAGAAAAGUGAGAAGAGCAAGUAAAAAAUGCAUUGCGAUUUUAGAAGACGUGUAAAUAUUUUGGUAUGUCUGGAAUAUCCGGGAGAAAUCAUUGGAAAUGGUGCUGUGGAAGUAGGCAGGUAGAUCUCUCACCUGGCCGUCUCGAUGAGUUCAGACUUUACUUGUAAGGCAGUGAAGGAAAUGAAGCUGAGUGAAUAGCAGGAGAAAAUUUGCAUUUUGGGAAAAUAAGUUGGGCAGGAUUACAGAAAAUGUUUACAGAGGGCAACAAGGGACCACAUGCAGUAUUCAUCAGAUGGCUCCUGUUUUUCUCAGUGAACUGGGAGGCAAUCUUGUAUCCUUGGGUUUUAGGGUCAGACAGACUUCAUUUCAGAUCCUGAAUCUCAAGAGCCCCUUAACUUCCCUCAGCCUAGGAUUUUUCAUCUGUAAAAUGGGAAUAAUAGUGGUCUUGCAGGAUUGUAGAGUUUACGUGUUCGAAAUGCUUUGCUUGGAUUUCUAGGCCAAUUCUAAUCCAUGUUUCACACUAUCGGCCGUUUGCCAAAAGCCAUCGUGGCUUUCUUCAGGCUUCUCAUUUCCAGGCUUGGUGCAUUCUCAGAUGUUCCAGGUUUUGGGGUGGUGGUUACUAAAACAAAACAAAGCAAAUGGUUUUGUUGAAGUGUAUCUGACAUACAGUAAACCGCACAUAAUUAAAGAGUACGAUUUGGAUGUUUGGAUAUGUCUGUGAGAUCAUCACUGCAGUCAAGGUGCUGAAUAUACUGUCACUCCAGUGGUUUCUUUGUGUUUCCUUGUGUUUUCUUCCUUCCCCUUCUCCC